GAGGCCCACCAUAGUAUAUAUUCAAACUGUUUUUAAAAGAUUAUGGCACACACACAAACACAUGCUCACAUACUAAUUUAGCAAGGCAUAUGUGUCCUUAAUCCAACUGACAGUCUCACAUAAACAUAGCUGUUGAGUCUUUCUGGCCAAAGAGCUGAGGAAAUAAAUAUGGCUAGCCAACUCAGCCCUCUGCGUCUGAUUCAGCGUGAAAAUCAUGGCUUCAGUCGAUUAUAUUUACAGUGUCCUAACAGUCACAAAUAGCAAAACCAGGCAGGAAAUGGCUAUUCUGGCCAUCAGUUUAACACCCACAUACUGAGUGGCCAUCUAUGAGAAGUACACAUUUGAGAUGGCUUGCAUAAAAGGUAAACACCUUCAAAAUGAGAAUAAGAGUUGUUGGUUUUACAAUUAUAACCAUUAUGACUAACUUUGUUCAGUAAAUUACAUGAGUAAGAAAUAGUAAAUUACACAAAACAAGACCCAUCGAGGAGAAUUUGCCAGUUUGGUUUUGUUCCUGUGGUCUGAGUUGUUUCUUAACUCCCAGUUCAAUAGUAGCUCAGAGGGAUUUUAACAGAUGGAAAAGAUGAGCUGUGGGAAGCCAGUAAAUAAUGAUUCAUCAUACUGUAAGAUGCUUGCCUGUGAAUAAAGAUAGAAAUGCUAGUAGUCUGUUAGUCUAGCUGAGGUAUUUUUUGUCCAGGCUAUUAAAAUGUUGAAAGGAUCUGAGUGAGGUGAAUGUUACUGAGAUGGAUGCCACUUAACACUGCCAUGUUUAUGCCCAAAAUGCUUAAGAAUGCAGAACUCCUCAUCACAUGCUGUCCCAGUCUCACAGAGGCCUAAUGGUGUAAAAACAACUUGCCUAGCCUGGGCCACUCUGGAGCAGUGAAGGGAAGAGAACAGGUCCGCAUAGCUAAAGGUCAACUUUUGGCCUUUCUCUGGGCCAGCUUCUCUAAAAGUGAUGGAGGGCUGGGAGCAUGUUUGUGUGUGUUUGCAGCUGCUGGGCUCUGUCAGGGGAGCUGAGGAGACGGGCGCCUCAUUGUACAGCGCUGAUCCCCGAUGUAAGAUGGAGACAGGUUAAAGAAGACGAGGGGUGAGAUCUACAACCCCCAACACCACCGCCACCACCAAAAUCCCUCUUAGACCGGUGACCCGCCAAACCCCUUACCAACCACUAACCCCCCACAAGCACCCCUGACCUCAGGCAGUGCCCCUGAGGCCCAUGGGCCCCCAAAAGAAGGCUGAAUGAAGGGGUCAGUUCAAAAGGCUGCCAGACGGAGAGCUGCUGGCUGGCCAUGAUGUGCCUGAGGCUUUGAAGUGAGGAGUGGAUCUAAAAGGCCUUUUUCUUCCUCUGCUGUGGACAGUGAAGAGCUAAACACACCACCCUGCUUGUCAUAACAGUCAGUAAAAGGAGACCCUCCUCAGUUCCCUUGACUCUGCCAUGGGGUGCGGCCCCCGUCACAGCCCCCAAAAGGCCCCCGGGGUUCUUCCUGCAAUUCUAAUCAAAGUUUAAAAAGCUGCAACCUUGGACUCUCAGCCUGGGUCGUGGCCUGUGAGGAAGAUAUCAAUCAAGCGGCUCCAAACAAGCGCGAGGGGAAGAGGGAGGGAGACAUAGGGAGUUGAGGGCGGUUUCUGAGAAUGUCUGGCUCUCUCUGUCCUUCUGUCCUCAGAGGAGUAACAUCCCCUCAUUCCCCAUACCUGGAAACCACAAGGUAAUUCAAAAUCGCAUUAACACAUAAUGGCCGUGUGGAUGGAUAAAACAUUAAUCUGCCUGUGAUGCUGCAGUGCCUGUCACCACCAUCAUCAUCAUCAUCAUCAUCAUCAGCCUCUUAGUCAUACUCUGUCCAUUUUUCCAGGCGGGAAUGAAUGAAUCCUCUCUGGAAUCGUACUGGUUGACCCCGGGAGAGGCAGCUCUACAAAUGAAGUUGCCUCCCUGCCUGGUGCCCAGCUCCGCAGCUGUCUAAUCCUCUCCCAGGCCUGCCCUACAAAUGGGUGAAGGCACAUGUGUACAGACUCAUGCACAGAUAGAGACAUGUGCACAUGCAGCCAUGAGCACACUAGCGCCCAUAUAUCUAGCCAGGGAAGAGGACAGGCAGGCAGGCAGGCAGGCAGGCAGGCAGGCAGGCAGGCAGGCAGGCAGGCAGGCAGGCAGGCAGGCAAGCAGGGUUUUGGCAGUCUCCGAAUAUUAGCUUUUCCACAGCUGGGGGCUGCUGGACCUGCUCCGUUCAUCAGACAUCCAUCAAGGUGUCAGUUUGGGUUAUGAGACAAAGCUCCCAGGAUGAUCAGACCGCUGCCCUGCCUGCCAGCAGGCCUGCCUGAUGGCCUUCUGUCUGGGCCAAGAAGGACCAAAGGCAAACACGUAAUAAAAAAAGGAAAAAAAGCAUAACCAACAAGAACAUGGACACAAAUUCACACAAGCACCACUCUC